rnacentral:sRNA from 1 species
UGCAUCUGAAGCUUAAAGAGGAUGAGAACCUCCGAAGGAGGUUUGAGCCGAGCGCAGCGAGACAACGUUGCUUUAGCAACGGCCCGCAGGGGAAUAAUCCUCUCUCGCCGACCA